CCAAGGUUCUUGAUCUCCUGCUCUCUCAAGAAUGAGAGAGGGGAACAGGUGCGCUCGCAAAGUAAAUACUAGACCCCAAAUAGUUUUUUUUGCAGGAAGUGAAUAUAUUUAGGUAAAGAAAAGGGGAAAAAAAGGAGAAGAAGAGAGAAAACUUCCACAAAGAGUGUGGAAGGAGACUCCAGAGGGGAAAUCCGCCCUGAUGAGGGAGACAGGGACUUUUAACCUGGAAGGAAUUCUGUCCUUCUCCAAGUCCCUUGGCCAAUGAAAAGAGUUCCCGAAAACUUCUGCUGGAGUGAUUAACCUUUGGUUCUUCCUGCAUGCGUGAAAAUUUAAAACAGAGACCUUUAAACCUCCUGGGUGGAGAGAGAUGGGAGCGAGGGCAUGGUGCUGGGAAGUUCUUGCCCUUGAAACUACACCCCCUAGUGCACCCGGAAAGAGGACACCUUCCCUCAUUGCCCCCUCUGAACAGGAAAGUUCAACUUCUGUUGGAACAUGGGCAAUUAUUGCUGUUU